rnacentral:rRNA from 1 species
UUAGACGUAAAUCCGGCUGCACCCCUACCCACAGCCCCGCCAGAGGAUUACAAGUGAAGAACUUAAAACUCCAAGGACUUGACGGUGUCCUAUCCAUGCUAGAGGAGCCUGUCCUAUAAUCGAUGCCCCACGUUAUACCUUACCCCCCCUAGCAAUCUCAACCUAUAUACCGCCGUCAUCAGCCUACGCUGUGAACAAACCACCGUGGGCAAAAUUAUCUACGCAUAAGCACGACAGGUCAAGGUGUAGUUCAUGGGGGGGCCAGCGAUGGGCUACAUUUUCUAUAUUAGAAAACUACCACCAGCACAGUGAAACCCCAUGCUAAAAGGUGGAUUUAGAAGUAAACCUGGCAAGAUUAUGCCAGCUUGAAUACGCCCUGGGACGC